GAUGAACGCUGGCGGCGUGCUUAACACAUGCAAGUCGAACGGAAAGGCCCAAGCUUGCUUGGGUACUCGAGUGGCGAACGGGUGAGUAACACGUGGGUGAUCUGCCCUGCACUUCGGGAUAAGCCUGGGAAACUGGGUCUAAUACCGGAUAGGACGAUGGUUUGGAUGCCAUUGUGGAAAGUUUUUUCGGUGUGGGAUGAGCUCGCGGCCUAUCAGCUUGUUGGUGGGGUAAUGGCCUACCAAGGCGUCGACGGGUAGCCGGCCUGAGAGGGUGUACGGCCACAUUGGGACUGAGAUACGGCCCAGACUCCUACGGGAGGCAGCAGUGGGGAAUAUUGCACAAUGGGCGCAAGCCUGAUGCAGCGACGCCGCGUGGGGGAUGACGGCCUUCGGGUUGUAAACUCCUGUCGCUAGGGACGAAGCGUUUUUGUGACGGUACCUGGGGAAGAAGCACCGGCUAACUACGUG
rnacentral:rRNA from 1 species